rnacentral:rRNA from 1 species
GAUGAACGCUGGCGGCGUGCCUAACACAUGCAAGUCGAGCGAAGCGCCUUACUUGAUUUCUUCGGGAUGAAAGUAUUGUGACUGAGCGGGCGUACGGGUCGAAGGUACCGCCGUAGGUAAGUAACCUGCCUCAUACAGGGGGAUAACAGUUAGAAAUGACUGCUAAUACCGCAUAAGACCACAGCACCGCAUGGUGCAGGGGUAAAAACUCCGGUGGUAUGAGAUGGAUCCGCGUCUGAUUAGCUAGUUGGUAAGGUAACGGCUUACCAAGGCAACGAUCAGUAGCCGACCUGAGAGGGUGACCGGCCACAUUGGGACUGAGACACGGCCCAA